UACGUAGGGUGCAAGCGUUGUCCGGAAUUAUUGGGCGUAAAGAGCUCGUAGGCGGCUUGUCACGUCGGAUGUGAAAUCCCGAGGCUCAACCUCGGGCCUGCAUUCGAUACGGGCUAGCUAGAGUACUGCAGGGGAGACUGGAAUUCCUGGUGUAGCGGUGAAAUGCGCAGAUAUCAGGAGGAACACCGGUGGCGAAGGCGGUUCUCUGGGCCUUACCUGACACUGAGGAGCGAAAGCGUGGGGAGCGAACAGG
rnacentral:rRNA from 1 species